UGUGAUGAGCCAUGAGAAAAUAAUGUUUUAGGAUGCAAAUGUUACUUUUUUUGAAUUCCUGGUACGGUCCCAAAGUCAGCUUCUGCAGAUACAGCUUGAAAUCCAAACAGUAAGCUCAGGCAACAAGCAUGCAGAGGGGAUACAUCAAAACAGAUGUAAUCUUUGUAGCAUGGGCUGUUUGUUGGCAACCGAAGGUUUCUGCUGAUGCCCAUUGUGUUUAGGACCUGGGGUCAGAGGUGCUCCUGCUCUUCCCUUUGCCAGACAAAAGCAUCAGUGGUGACACAGUGCUCUUUACAGAAAAGCUCCCGCAAAGAAGGAUGGAAAUGUUGAGCUGUGUCUUAUUUCUGGAGCACCAGUCUUUGCCAAAAGCCUUGUGCUUGGCCACAGACAUGAAUAAAAGGAGCAAGGCACAGGUAAAAUGCUAUGUCGUCGUCCUCCCACUCACCUCCCCCCUGCCCUCCGCCUUUCUGUCACAUGUGAGAUUUCAGUAGCAUGCAGCCUUGCUGGGAGCUGGGGCAAUAAUUGGGAUCUGAAACACUGCUGAAUGACUCACACACACUUUAUCUAUGUCUGUCCACACUGUUGUGGCUUUUCUUGCUGGUGACAACGUGGCGGAGAAGGACAGGGUGAGAGAGCAAGAUAGCGUGGAUGCGGGGGGCCAUGCCAAGAUGGAGUGAUUUCUCAUGUAGUGUUACAGUAAUGACCAACGUGACACAGAAGGAAAAUUCUGUGACAAUAUGGUGCUCUUGUCCUGUUAUGGAUAGGAGUCAAUCUCUUUGCUGCGGGCAGUCUAACCCUCUCAUGGAGGCAGUGCAGCCAUGACCCAGCAGAACACCAGCUGUG
rnacentral:lncRNA from 1 species